UGGGGAAUUUUGCACAGUGGGGGAAACCCUGAUGCAGCGACGCCGCGUGAUUUAGAAGGCCUUCGGGUUGUAAAAAUCUUUUUUAUGGGAUGAAAAUGACAGUACCAUAAGAAUAAGGUCCGGCUAAAUACGUGCCAGCAGCCGCGGUAAUACGUAUGGACCGAGCGUUGUCCGGAAUCAUUGGGCGUAAAGGGUACGUAGGCGGCCCAGUAAGUUAGAAGUGAAAUAAUAUAGCUCAACUAUAUAAAGCUUUUAAAACUGCUAGGCUUGAGAGAUGGAAGGGAAAGUGGAAUUCCUAGUGUAGCGGUGAAAUGCGCAGAGAUUAGGAGGAAUACCGGUGGCGAAGGCGACUUUCUGGCCAUAACCUGACGCUGAGGUACGAAAGCGUGGGUAGCAAACAGG
rnacentral:rRNA from 1 species